UAUAUCUCGGAGGUGUUGAAGAC
rnacentral:siRNA from 1 species